rnacentral:rRNA from 1 species
GGAAAGGCGCGCGAUACAGGGUGACAGCCCCGUACACAAAAAUGCACAUGCUGUGAGCUCGAUGAGUAGGGCGGGACACGUGGUAUCCUGUCUGAAUAUGGGGGGACCAUCCUCCAAGGCUAAAUACUCCUGACUGACCGAUAGUGAACCAGUACCGUGAGGGAAAGGCGAAAAGAACCCCGGCGAGGGGAGUGAAAAAGAACCUGAAACCGUGUACGUACAAGCAGUGGGAGCACGCUUAGGCGUGUGACUGCGUACCUUUUGUAUAAUGGGUCAGCGACUUAUAUUCUGUAGCAAGGUUAACCGAAUAGGGGAGCCGAAGGGAAACCGAGUCUUAACUGGGCGUUAAGUUGCAGGGUAUAGACCCGAAACCCGGUGAUCUAGCCAUGGGCAGGUUGAAGGUUGGGUAACACUAACUGGAGGACCGAACCGACUAAUGUUGAAAAAUUAGCGGAUGACUUGUGGCUGGGGGUGAAAGGCCAAUCAAACCGGGAGAUAGCUGGUUCUCCCCGAAAGCUAUUUAGGUAGCGCCUCGUGAAUUCAUCUCCGGGGGUAGAGCACUGUUUCGGCAAGGGGGUCAUCCCGACUUACCAACCCGAUGCAAACUGCGAAUACCGGAGAAUGUUAUCACGGGAGACACACGGCGGGUGCUAACGUCCGUCGUGAAGAGGGAAACAACCCAGACCGCCAGCUAAGGUCCCAAAGUCAUGGUUAAGUGGGAAACGAUGUGGGAAGGCCCAGACAGCCAGGAUGUUGGCUUAGAAGCAGCCAUCAUUUAAAGAAAGCGUAAUAGCUCACUGGUCGAGUCGGCCUGCGCGGAAGAUGUAACGGGGCUAAACCAUGCACCGAAGCUGCGGCAGCGACGCUGAUGCGUUGUUGGGUAGGGGAGCGUUCUGUAAGCCUGCGAAGGUGUGCUGUGAGGCAUGCUGGAG